AUGAAAAAGAGGACACUGUCUUAAGGGCUGCUGUGUAACACUUACUGCGAGUCCAGGUGGUCCUGGUGGGCCAGUGGGUCCAGGAGGACCAUUCAUACCCUGGAUAUAAGCAAAGAUUUAUCAUAUCUUGUUUGUAGACUGACGUUCUGCAUGUAUUGGUGUUCCAUGCUGCAACCAUAUAUACCUCAUCUCCUUUGGAUCCUUGUGCACCCUGGUUUCCUGGCAGGCCUCUGUCUCCUUUCUCACCUGGUUCUCCCGGGGGGCCAAUUAGACCAAUCAGCCCACCAUGGCCCUGCAAAUAGAGACAUGGUUCAUCAUCACUGUGUCAUUAUAUUUAGACUGGUGCAAAACGGCCUCUCUGUCGAAAGCUAAACACUCACUUUAUCGCCCUUGCUACCAGGAUCUCCUCUUAAUCCUGGGAGUCCUGGUGGCCCCUGUUUACACAGUCAAAUGUAUUAUUUACAUCAGUAAUGUAGGGUGUACAAAAUAUAAUUUAUUCUGUUUUCAUUAUUUUAUGAAAACCGAUUCAAAUAUUAGCCACAUAUAAGAAUCCUACUAUUGGUCCAGGUGGUCCAGUCUGCCCUAGCGGUCCAUUUAAUCCUGGUUCACCCUGCACAAAAAACACACACAAAAUAUCAAUGUGUAUGGUAUUCAAAGUCAAUUUUAGUUUCCCAAUAUUAUGCCACCUUUGAAUAAAAAUACAAUUUUGCAUCCAUAUACAUACCGCUGGACCUGGAAUGCCUCGAAACCCUUCUGGACCAGACCUUCCUGGCUGUCCUUGGGGUCCCACUGGGCCUGUCUUCCCCACUGAUCCCGGGGGUCCACUUGUUCCCUACAGAGCAAGGAGACAGAUGCAAGAGCAAGGCAUCAAUAGCAAAAUAGAUCAAAAAAGGAUUCUUCAGAGAGAUCACUGUUUUUUGAGCUUACCUUAGCUCCCUUCAUGCCUUGCUUUCCUUCUUUUCCUGCAGCACCGACAUGGCCCUGAAAAAAACAGCAGAGAAUGGCAUGAGCAUGAGUAUUAUCUGCAAAUAAACACUUCAUAUACCUAUACAUGCAAAAAUAUAUAUAUACAAUAAAUAUACUGUAAACUACGAUUACCCUCCUUCCAGGUGGUCCUGGAGGACCAGGCUCUCCUGAAGCCCCUGGCGGUCCCUGCAGAAAUAAAAGGAAAAAAAAGGAAAAAGAAAUUCCCAUCAGUUGGAAAGAAACUGGCAACCUUUACUUAAUGUCACUGUGUCAACAAAUGAACAAGAUUUCAAUUAAUCUUAUAAAAAAUUAAUGUUAAAAGAAACAUUGCUGUUUACUGCUUUGCCGGGAUCUCCACUAUCUCCUUUAGGUCCUGAUGCACCAUCGACUCCCUGAACAAAUCAAUGUAAUGUAAGAAUAGAGACUAAAAAAAAUCAACAACAACAACAAAAAAAAAACAAACAGAAUACGACAGUAAAUAGAAACAUUAGCUCUGACCUUAACACCAGGCUCACCAGGGGGCCCUGCAUCUCCAGGGAAUCCAAUAGGACCCUACAGGCAAAAGCAGGGGGCCAGCUGCACCGGGAGGACCAGAAUCCCCCUUUUCUCCGACAUCGCCUUUGGGACCCUGAGACACGAGCAAAUGUAAUGACAAUCCUUGAAAGGUUAAGGAGCCUAAGGAAAGAUAAAAUGAACUUAAAAAGACCAGAAGAUGGCAUAAAGGUAAUGUGACUCACAGCAAUGCCAGGCUCUCCAGCUGGUCCAGGGUCUCCAGCUUCUCCAUCAUCACCCUGAUGUCCAGGCUGUCCGACUCCACCAGGCAUUCCAGGUGGGCCCUGUGGCAGGAGGAGAGAGAACAGCUUGAACUGCAGCAUCAUAAAACAAGAGUGAGUUUCAAAUAUUCAUCUGAUUUUUGCAGCAUUCUGCAGUAUUUUGUGUUUGUUUGUCAGCAGUUUUCCCACAGAAGGCAGAAACUGGAACAACACAAGAAAAUACUGUCAGAUUUGCUGUGUGGAUAUUGUCUAAAUCACAGAGGGUGGAUAUUGUAUUUCUUCUCUUUCUGUCACUUGGUUUGUUUGUUUGUGCACGUAUGUUAUUAUGCACACACAUAUGUCAGUGUACUUUGCCCUGUGUCUAGAGACAAACCCAGAAAAAAACAUGUUUUUGGUAGAGUGCACAAGCCUGGGAGUUGAAUACAGCCACGCACUACUACUGAACUCCUGCUGUCAACUGCUUUCCUCACAUGCUGUCUCACCCCCAUUUCACUCUUUCCCACUAUUCCAUGUACCGGUCCAUUUAUGGAUCCAACCACCUCUGCACCGCUGUAUUUCCAAGCUUCCUGUGAUGAAGCAAAAGUGUGGCUCACAUGCUUUUCUGCAACUUACUGCUAAAUAAUUGACUGGCAUGAGAGGCUGUAGAGGGACGACCAUUACUAGAGGAGAAAAUCAUGAAGUGCCUGGAGCGGCUGGUCGAAGGUCACAUCUGCUCCUCCCUCCCUGACACACUGGACCCUCUUCAGUUUGCCUAUCGGACAAACAGAGCCACAGAGGAUGCCAUCGCCCUGGCAACGCACACCACCUUCACUCACCUGGAAAAAGGGAAUACAUAUGCAAGGAUGCUCUUCAUCGACUACAGCUCGGCAUUUAACACCAUUAUCCCCUCGAAACUUGCCAUGAAGCUCGUCGACCUUGGGCUGGGAACACCGAUCUGCAGAUGGAUUCUAAACUUCCUCACAAACAGGCCCCAGGUGGUGAGAGUUGGUAAGCACACCUCCUCACCACUCAUCCUGAACACAGGUACGCCACAGGGUUGUGUGCUUAGCCCCCUCCUAUAUUCCCUGUUCACACACGACUGUGUUGCUAAACAAGAGUCCAACAUCAUCAUCAA